rnacentral:rRNA from 1 species
AUACGGUUAAGUUAGAAAGGGCGCACGGUGAAUGCCUUGGCACUAGGAGCCGAUGAAGGACGGUACUAACACCGAUAUGCUUCGGGGAGCUGUAAGUAAGCUUUGAUCCGGAGAUUUCCGAAUGGGGAAACCCCCUAUCCGUAAUGGGAUAGGAUCCUUAUCUGAAUACAUAGGGUAUAGAAGGCAGACCCGGGGAACUGA